CAGCCACUUAAUAGCUUUUUGUGUUAGACAUACUGAAUGCUGUAAUAACCUGAUGUCGUAUUGAACACAGUGAUUAAGUAUUCAGUUUACAAGACAAAUGGAGACUCAUUAGAGUCAGUCAGAGAAGAAUUGCACGAACUUAAAUUGCAGGUUAUUUGGCAUUGUUUGUAUCUACACCAAGAGUCUGAGCUUUGAACUCACUCUUUAUGAAGGUAAAAUUUACAUGGUCAUCCUCUGGAUUCUCACAGUCACCUUCAGCCUCAUUAAGAGAAGCUGCUAUUCCAAGACAACUGCAAUUUGCAUUUAAGUGCUGCUUUACAAAUAAAAUAACUGCAGGAGCAAAACAGUCUGAAAGCAAAAUGCCAUAUAUCUGAGUUCAAAAUGUACAUAUUUAGAGCAUUAAGGCAAGUCAGCAUCCAUUUUAAAGCACUUCUACGACAACUUUCA